GUUGAAACCUCGUGGGGGAGGGCAGAGAGUGCGGACCUUGCUUGGCUCAUCCUGGCUCCUGGCUCUUUGCCUGGCACACAUGGGGCUCCAGAGCCUGUACAUGUUGCUGGGUGUGCAGUAAACACACAGAAAACAGUAUAUGCCCACCCUGCUCGUGAGGAGGGAGUUGCUGAGUCUACACUCUGUGCCAUCUACCAUGCAAUUCACCACAGUAAUUUCGAAUAGCUUCUUGGGUCUUGCAUCAUUUGUGAAAGUGAAGCAAACCUUCCUCUACUGUACAGAGUGUCCAGAAAUAGAGCUCAUCAGAGUAACCCAGUUGACAUAAUGAGACUGUAAGCACACCAAGGGGAGUUUCUGGACGACUAGAGGACAUCUGAGGAGCACGGCUAAGCCCCAAACCUUCCUUAGGACUACUGUGAACCCCUAUACUUCUGCAGCUACAGUUCCAAAUUUCUGGGCUCCGUCCCAACAAAACGUCUAGAAAAAUUUGCUCUAUUUUUGAUCCUCGUUUUUUUUUUUUUUUUUUUUUUUUUUCUCAUUUCAGAACAGUGAUGGCUUUUCCAGGUAAAGCAUCUUGUUACCUUAUAAGUUUCAUUAAAUAGAUGGCCUUUGAACUAGACCUUGCAGAAUGGGUAAAAUUUAUUUUGGAAAAGAAGUGAAAGAGGGCUAUCAGAGAGUGUUUUCAUGAAUGUAUAAGCCUGGAAUCUGGAUGUCUUUGAUAAGGAGCGAUAAAAGGGUACAUUUGGGUGUGGAUUAAUUCACUUACUCAGUAUAUACAUAUAUAUAGAAACCACAAUUUGAUACGGGAAAUAUAGCAAAGGAUUAGACCUGGUCCAGCUCUCAUGAUGUUCAGAGACAGUGAUGGUUCCGGGGGCAGAGAGACGCAGUGGACAUCAAGAGGUGGGCUAAUUCAUUAUUUGAAGACUCUUCAAUGACACACAAAGGAGUUUGAAUUUUAUCCCAUCACUACUCAUAACAGCACUUUUUUUGACACUAAUCACAUGCUGGGCAGUAUUCACUAUUUAUUAUGUAACAACCUUAUGGUAUAGAGAGAUAUUUUACUGACAGGGAGACUGAAGCAUGGAGUAGGUACCUAACUUGGCUAAGGACUCAGAGCUAAUAAGAGGUAGAGUCAGGAUUGAGUCCAGGUAUUUUGGCUUCAGAGUCUAUAGUCUUAUCAUUUGUAAAUAUAUAAUAUGUGGCUAAAGCGAAGCUUUUUUAUAUGAAAAAAGUAAAACAAGGUUAAUGAUGUUGGGAAAAAUCAUUGGAAGAUGCAGCAGUGUGUAUCAGAGCCUGGACUAGACUCCACAAGGCUUUAGGUCCAUUGCUGCUUCUGCUCCACAUAGAGUGUGCACUAGUGUGCAAAAACUUUGUGGAUGCACUUGGAUAAAUUAAGAGAAAUAUGUUUACACUACAAGAGGUGGUAAUGCUGCAGUCCUUUUUUUUUUUUUUUUUUUUUUUGCUUUUUAGGACCAAACCCAUGGCAUAUGGAAGUUUUCAGGCUAGGGAUUGAGUCGGAGCUGUAGAUGCCAGCGUACGCCACACCCAUCACCAGAUCCGAGCCAUGUGUUUGACCUACACCACAGCUCACAACAAUGCCAGAUCCUUAACCCACUGAGCAGAGCCAGGUUCAAAACUUGGAUUCAUUUCUGCAGUGCCACAAGGCUUGCUGCAUUCUUUUGUGCUGGUGAGACUAAUAGUGAGCAGUGAGAGGGUUCAGUUGUGUCUGUCUUCCUCUCCGAAUACAUCAGCUGGGGCCCAAAGUUAACAUAUCCAAAGGUAGAAAUGGUUUGUUUUUGUUGUUCCAAGCAAGGUCAAACUUGCAGAAAGGUGCGUUUGGUUGGGUGAGGAUGACCCAGCUAUCUCGAUGUCCUUUUACUAAUCACGGCAUACGAGGUGGUAGAGUCACAAAAUACCUCAUCGUCAGCUGCCUUAGAGACUAGCUUGACCUGCCCCAGGACUCGAUCUACUGUGAAAUGCAUUCAGGCACAGGGAAUAUCAGUGCAAAAACCCCAGGAUUUAUUCCUCUCUAAAAGGUGGCUUGGAGGAUGUCACACGUAGAAAGUGGACUGAUUCAUUUCCACUCCCAGCAUUGUUUCAAUCGAGCUUGGCACAAAGAUGAUCAAUGCUGACUCAGAGCUAUGUCCAGAUGGAGAGAGAGCCUUCUAAACUAUCACAUCCAACCCAGUCCUGGUCUACCACUCCCCCUCGAGUCUCUAGAAUCCUCACUGUCCUAUCUAUAGGGUGCACCCAUUCCAGAGGAUAAGACUCCACUCAUAUUUGGUCCUUUGCCUUCCCAGCAGGACCCCAAAACCCCCUCACCCUUUCAUCUAUGCAGACUGGCACAGAAGAAAUGAUUCUGAAAAAUAAACUAGCUAAUCAUUAGAUGAAAGCA
rnacentral:lncRNA from 1 species